UUUUUUACUUUUCUGUGCAGCCUACCAGCUGCUCCCCAGAUGAUCCUGCUCAUCAGGAGUCUGUGCUUCCUGCCUCCAGUGUUGGAGAAGAAAAAGUCAUAGAAAGGUUUCUUAUGCCACCACCACCUCCCUUUGUGGCCCCUGUCCCUAUUGCACGCAAAAGGCCAAGAGAAAUAGUGACAGAUGAUCAGGCCAGCCUGCCCAGUAGCACAGCAUCAUUGGGUGUUCAAGUAGUGGUGUUGGAGAAGAGGUCUAAAUUGGACAGAGAUGCAUCAGGGCUAGUGCCCUAUGGAGGAGAUUCCUCCGAUGAAGAGGAGGAGAGAACACACAGCAGUAAGACAUAGCUCACAACACCUGCCCCCGCCCCGCCCCGCCCCCACAGGAUACCCAGAGACCCAAAGUCGACAUCUAUUAUAUCAAAACAAAUCUCAAACUCAAACCCCAUCCAAGGAAAAAUCCACCUUUGCAUUGUCAGACACUGUUUUAGGACUGUGCUAGUGAUUUGCCGUUUACUACAAUGAUGAUUUAUUGUUUUUCUUUAAUCUCCUUAAGACCCUGGUUUGAAAUGUCUGGUAACGGUUAAUGUACUAAGAUCCACUUUUGGAUAGGAGACAAGUUGACUGGAGAAAAAAAAAGAAAACAUUUAAUGAACUGUAUAGCCUCUUGCAGAUGUUUGGUGCUUUGCAAGGCUAUUUGUCCUAUUGUGGGUUUUGAGUAGUGUACUUCUUAUUUUCAUUUCUUUCAUGCAUCCCCAGAAUGCCUUUCUGUAAUGCCUCACAACAGGUGUGAACUGAUUAGUGAAGACAUAUUUAAAUGUAUGCCCAUGUAUAAAGCAAAUGUAGAAGUAUAGUUAGCUUGCCAACUAGUUCAUUGUCAUUGCACAUGUAUGUCUUAUGAUGAGAGAAUUUUCAGGAUACCGUCUUUGUCUUUUCAGUUUUCCUCAUGUUGUUGCUGUCUUAAUGGAAACCUUUUUUUUUUACUGCAAGGGUCUGACUCUAAAAUGUGCAGUUGCCAGGCUUUUAAAUUUUCCGUUGAAGUAAAAAUGAUCUACACCACUAAGAGAGAGUAGGUCCAGAAAAGCAAAUCGCAUCAGCAGUAGUCUUUUUAACAGUGUAAAAAUAUGCAGGGUGGAUUUGUCCUUUACAGAAGUGAGUCCAAUUGUUACAACUACAAAUUGAUUUUUUUCUUGUUUAGCUUUUGAUGCAUAUUUUGAUAGUCAAAAACAAUCCCUUCUUACCUUUUCAACACUUGGUCUGCUGCAGUUAGUGAUGGUAUACUUACUGUAAAAUUCAGUGAAACUUUUUCUUAUUUUGGAAAAUGGUGUAUGCCUGUUCCCAUGGAAUACUAUAAUAAAAGCAACAAAAUCCUU